rnacentral:rRNA from 1 species
UACGGAGGGUGCAAGCGUUAUCCGGAUUCACUGGGUUUAAAGGGUGCGUAGGCGGACAGGUAAGUCAGUGGUGAAAUCUCUGGGCUUAACCCAGAAACUGCCGUUGAUACUAUCUGUCUUGAAUAUCCUGGAGGUAGGCGGAAUAUGUCAUGUAGCGGUGAAAUGCUUAGAUAUGACAUAGAACACCGAUAGCGAAGGCAGCUUACUACAGGAUGAUUGACGCUGAGGCACGAAAGCGUGGGGAGCAAACAGG